AUUGAACGCUGGCGGCAUGCCUUACACAUGCAAGUCGAACGGCAGCACGGGAGCAAUCCUGGUGGCGAGUGGCGAACGGGUGAGUAAAGUAUCGGAACGUGCCCAGUCGUGGGGGAUAACGUAGCGAAAGUUACGCUAAUACCGCAUACGAUCUAUGGAUGGAAGCGGGGGAUCGCAAGACCUCGCGCGAUUGGAGCGGCCGAUAUCAGAUUAGGUAGUUGGUGGGGUAAAGGCUCACCAAGCCGACGAUCUGUAGCUGGUCUGAGAGGACGACCAGCCGAACUGCGACUGAGACACGGCCCAGACUCCUACGAGAGGCAGCAGUGGGGAAGUUUGGACAAUGGGCGAAAGCCUGAUCCAGCAAUGCCGCGUGCAGGAAGAAGGCCUUCGGGUUGUAAACUGCUUUUGUACGGAGCGAAAAGGUUCUCUCUAAUACAGAGGGCUCAUGACGGUACCGUAAGAAUAAGCACCGGCUAACUACGUGCCAGCAGCCGCCGUAA
rnacentral:rRNA from 1 species